GCCUGGGUGGCUCAGUCGGUUGAGCGUCUGACUUCAGCUCGGGUCAUGAUCUCACAGUUCGUGGGUUCAAGUCCCGGUUCGGGUU
rnacentral:tRNA from 1 species